UACGAAGGGGGCUAGCGUUGCUCGGAAUCACUGGGCGUAAAGGGUUCGUAGGUGGCCCGCUAAGUCAGACGUGAAAUCCCUCAGCUCAACUGGGGAACUGCGUCUGAGACUGGCGGGCUUGAGUGCAGGAGAGGAACGCGGAAUUCCAGGUGUAGCGGUGAAAUGCGUAGAUAUCUGGAGGAACACCGGUGGCGAAGGCGGCGUUCUGGACUGUUACUGACACUGAGGAACGAAAGCCAGGGGAGCAAACGGG
rnacentral:rRNA from 1 species